GUAAGUGUCUUAAUAAAUGCAAUUCUGUUUUGUUUAACAAGUAAUUAUUUUGAAUUUGUGCUGUGUUGAGCUAUAUCCUAGAGCUACAGGGAUGAUGUCGACAGUGUCUGUACCCUUGGGAGCACACAGUUAAGUGAAGAAGACUGACAUGUGGAGAGAUCACUGCGGGGUGACAAGCCACUGAGAAAGUGGAGUUCACAGCACUGUUUUGGACGAAUUGUAAUGUUGCAUUGUGCAGAUUGAGCGCUGCACAAAGGUGCCGUGUGCCUGCAGUGUUAUGUUACGCUAAGGGGAUGCUGGCCUCUUACUUGCACAUUGGCUGGACGUGGGUCCCCAGUAGCCCUGAGCGUCAGCAGCUGGCCAGGGCUGGCAAACACCUGGAUUCCUGUAAUUGCAGAAACUUGGACACAGGGAAGAUGAUGGGAAGACACAAGGAAAACACCAUCUACAAGCCUGAGGCUGCCAGACGCUAGGACAGAGGCUUGGAACAGAUCCCUCCCUCACAGCCUGCAGAAGGAAACAACCCUGCCAACACCUUAAUUUCAGACUUCCAGCAUGCAGAACCCUGAAACAAUGUUUGUCUAAAGCCACGAAGUUUGUGAUACUUUAUUUUGGCAACUCCAAGAAACUAAUAUGCCCCACCCCACCCUAAGCUUUCAACCUCUCUCACUCGUGCUUUAUUUCCACUUCCUUUCUCUGAACUUUCCUGUCCCAGGAAACCCAUCUUUACCUUACUCCUCUGUCUUGGUUGCAUGAGCUGGUCAAAUGUGGUCAGUGUAUUCUAGUGAAAUAAGCCAGAUCCCACGGACUCUCUAAAGAAAAGAAAGUCCGUUUGGAGGACCCUUGUAUUAGGCACUCUGUUUUUGGAUAAUUUAUACUGUGGGCACUACCACAGCCAGUGUAUCUGCUCUAUUUGUAAAAUUUUGACUGCGUGUAGCACCUAGUGCUCAUCCAAAGUCACACCUGGACAAGUACCUCUUAAAGAAGGACCGGGUGCAUACAGAACAUUGUUUUCAUCAAAUAGAAUUGAAUUCUGUACUCCAUACAUAUUAUCAAUUAUUGGCCAUUGUUUAUGAUAAUCAAGCACUUGUUUGUUUUACUUUCUGCCAACUUAAUAAUUAAAUAGACUUUUUCG
ensembl:lncRNA